AGUGAACGCUGGCGGUAGGCCUAACACAUGCAAGUCGAACGGCAGCACAGUAAGAGCUUGCUCUUACGGGUGGCGAGUGGCGGACGGGUGAGGAAUACAUCGGAAUCUACUUUUUCGUGGGGGAUAACGUAGGGAAACUUACGCUAAUACCGCAUACGACCUACGGGUGAAAGCAGGGGAUCUUCGGACCUUGCGCGAUUGAAUGAGCCGAUGUCGGAUUAGCUAGUUGGCGGGGUAAAGGCCCACCAAGGCGACGAUCCGUAGCUGGUCUGAGAGGAUGAUCCCCCACACGGGACCUUGGACCCGGUCCAGCCCCCUACGGGGGGCCGCGGUGGGGAAUUUUGGACAAGGGGCGCAACCCUGACCCAGCCAUCCCGCGUGGGUGAAGAAGGCCUUCGGGUUGUAAACCCCUUUUGUUGGGAAAAAAAAGCAGCAGGUUAAUCCCCCGCUGUUCUGGCGGUACCAAAAGAAUAAGCCCCGGCUACCUUCGU
rnacentral:rRNA from 1 species